CUUAUACAUGAUGAUAGGUUUAUCGCCCCAGUCUGAUUACUAUGUUGAUCGAUAUUCACUGAAAUUAG